GCUCGAGUGGCGAACGGGUGAGUAACACGUGAGUAACCUGCCCUUGACUUUGGGAUAACUUCAGGAAACUGGGGCUAAUACCGGAUAGGAGCUCCUGCUGCAUGGUGGGGGUUGGAAAGUUUCGGCGGUUGGGGAUGGACUCGCGGCUUAUCAGCUUGUUGGUGGGGUAGUGGCUUACCAAGGCUUUGACGUGUAGCCGGCCUGAGAGGGUGACCGGCCACAUUGGGACUGAGAUACGGCCCAG
rnacentral:rRNA from 1 species